UACAGAGGUCUCAAGCGUUGUUCGGAUUCAUUGGGCGUAAAGGGUGCGUAGGCGGCGGGGUAAGUCUGAUGUGAAAUCCCGGGGCUCAACCCUGGAACUGCAUUGGAUACUGCCUUGCUAGAGAACUGGAGAGGAGACUGGAAUUUACGGUGUAGCAGUGAAAUGCGUAGAGAUCGUAAGGAAGACCAGUGGCGAAGGCGAGUCUCUGGACAGUUCCUGACGCUGAGGCACGAAGGCCAGGGGAGCAAACGGG
rnacentral:rRNA from 1 species